rnacentral:rRNA from 1 species
GACGAACGCUGGCGGCGUGCUUAACACAUGCAAGUCGAGCGGUAAGGCCCUUCGGGGUACACGAGUGGCGAACGGGUGAGUAACACGUGGGUGAUCUGCCCUGCACUUCGGGAUAAGCCUGGGAAACUGGGUCUAAUACCGGAUAGGACCACUGCCUGCAUGGGUGGUGGUGGAAAGCUUUUGCGGUGUGGGAUGGCCCGCGGCCUAUCAGCUUGUUGGUGGGGUGAUGGCCUACCAAGGCGACGACGGGUAGCCGGCCUGAGAGGGUGACCGGCCACACUGGGACUGAGAUACGGCCCAGACUCCUACGGGAGGCAGCAGUGGGGAAUAUUGCACAAUGGGCGCAAGCCUGAUGCAGCGACGCCGCGUGAGGGAUGACGGCCUUCGGGUUGUAAACCUCUUUCAGCACCGACGAAGCGCAGGUGACGGUAGGUGCAGAAGAAGGACCGGCCAACUACGUGCCAGCAGCCGCAGUAA